UUGCUGUGAUGACUUUCUUAGGACACCUUUGGAAUAAUCAUGAAAAUAAUUUUUGGUCUGAGCAAC